CCCUUAGAUGUUCUGGGCGGCCCGCGAACUACACUGGCACUCUCAAUCAGAGCCUGGAUCUAACACUUUGGGGUAUUCUAUGAAGUGGUGUCGUGACUGGGAUUAACCCUUGCAAUUAUUGGUUACGAACGAGGAAUUCCUUGUAAUCGCGGUUUAUCAGCCCGCGUUGAAUGCGUCCCUGCCCUUUGUACACACCGCCCGUCGCUCCUACCGAUGGAUCGUCCGGUGAAGCUCAUGGAGGGGCGGUUGUCUCAGCUGCCGUCGAAGUGAAAUGGACCUCACGAUCUAGAGGAAGGAGAAGUCGUAACA
rnacentral:rRNA from 1 species